rnacentral:rRNA from 1 species
CCUACGGGUGGCAGCAGUGGGGAAUAUUGCACAAUGGGGGAAACCCUGAUGCAGCGACGCCGCGUGAGUGAAGAAGGACUUCGGUAUGUAAAGCUCUAUCAGCAGGGAAGAAAAUGACGGUACGUGAUUAAGAAGCCGCGGACAACUACGUGCCAGCUGCCGCGGUAAGACGUAGGGGGCAAGCGUUAUCCGGAUGUACUGGGUGUAAAGGGAGCGUAGACGGCAGGACAAGUCUGGAGUGAAAUGCCGGGGUUUAACCCCGGAACUGCUUUUGAAACUGUGUGGCUAGAGUGCAGGAGAGGUACGUGGAAUUCCUGGUGUAGCGGUGAAAUGCGUAGAUAUUAGGAGGAACACCAGUGGCGAAGGCGGCUUACUGGCGUGUAACUGACGUUGAGGCUCGAAAGCGUGGGGAGCAAACAGGAUUAGAUACCCUAGUAGUC